GACGAACGCUGGCGGCGUGCUUAACACAUGCAAGUCGAACGGAAAGGCCCUGCUUUUGUGGGGUGCUCGAGUGGCGAACGGGUGAGUAACACGUGAGUAACCUGCCCUUGACUUUGGGAUAACUUCAGGAAACUGGGGCUAAUACCGGAUAGGAGCUCCUGCUGCAUGGUGGGGGUUGGAAAGUUUCGGCGGUUGGGGAUGGACUCGCGGCUUAGCAGCUUGUUGGUGGGGUAGUGGCUUACCAAGGCUUUGACGGGUAGCCGGCCUGAGAGGGUGACCGGCGACAUUGGGACUGAGAUAAGGCCCAGACUCCUACGGGAGGCAGCAGUGGGGAAUAUUGCACAAUGGGCGGAAGCCUGAUGCAGCAACGCCGCGUGCGGGAUGACGGCCUUCGGGUUGUAAACCGCUUUCGCCUGUGACGAAGCGUGAGUGACGGUAAUGGGUAAAGAAGCACCGGCUAACUACGUG
rnacentral:rRNA from 1 species